GUUCAGAACUGGAAGAAUACCAGGUACUCAGGAAUCCGAGGAAGGGAAAGUGCUUGAGCCCAGGAAUUCUGGGUUGUAGGUUGCUCUGCUGCUUGGGUGUUGGCACUAAGUUUGGCAUCAUUAGGGUGACCUCCUAGGGGUGGGGUACUCUUGGAGGAGUGAACCAGCCCAGGUAGAAAAGAGCAGGUCAAAAUUCCCAUGCUGAUCAGUGGCAGGAUGAUGCCUGUGAAUAGCCAUUGCACUCCAGCCCGGGUAACAUAGCAAGACUCCAUCUCUG
ensembl:misc_RNA Metazoa_SRP Metazoan signal recognition particle RNA